rnacentral:rRNA from 1 species
GACGAACGCUGGCGGCGUGCUUAACACAUGCAAGUCGAACGAGAGCGUAGAGAAAGCUUGCUUUUUCUACAAUCUAGUGGCAAACGGGUGAGUAACGCGUAAACAACCUGCCCUACGGAUGGGGACAACAGCUGGAAACGGCUGCUAAUACCGAAUACGUUCCGAAAGUCGCAUGACUAUCGGAAGAAAGGAUGGCCUCUAUUUAUAAGCUAUCGCCGGAGGAGGGGUUUGCGUCUGAUUAGCUAGUUGGAGGGGUAACGGCCCACCAAGGCGACGAUCAGUAGCCGGUCUGAGAGGAUGAACGGCCACAUUGGAACUGAGACACGGUCCAGGCUCCUACGGGAGGCAGCAGUGGGGAAUCUUCCGCAAUGGGCGAAAGCCUGACGGAGCAACGCCGCGUGAGUGAAGACGGCCUUCGGGUUGUAAAGCUCUGUUAUACGGGACGAAUAAUCUUGUGGUUAAUACCCAUGAGAAGUGACGGUACCGUAAGAGAAAGCCACGGCUAACUACGUG